CACGUAGGGGGCGAGCGUUGUCCGGAUUUAUUGGGCGUAAAGAGCUCGUAGGCGGUUUCGUAAGUCGGAUGUGAAAACUCCAGGCUCAACUUGGAGACGCCAUUCGAUACUGCGAUGACUUGAGUUCGGCAGGGGAGACUGGAAUUCCUGGUGUAGCGGUGAAAUGCGCAGAUAUCAGGAGGAACACCGGUGGCGAAGGCGGGUCUCUGGGCCGAUACUGACACUGAGGAGCGAAAGCGUGGGGAGCGAACAGG
rnacentral:rRNA from 1 species